AUUGAACGCUGGCGGCAGGCCUAACACAUGCAAGUCGAACGAGUGGCGGACGGGUGUGUAAUGUCUGGGAAACUCCCUGAUGGAGGGGGAUCUCUACUGGAAACGGUAGCUAACACCGUAUACCCUCAGAUGUGCCCAGAUGGGUUUAGCUUGUUGGUGGGGUAACGGCUCACCAAGGCGACGAUCCCUCGCUGGUCUGAGAGGAUGACCAGCCACACUGGAACGGAGACACGGUCCAGACUCCUACGGGAGGCAGCAGUGGGGAAUAUUGCACAAUGGGCGCAAGCCUGAUGCAGCCAUGCCGCGUGUAUGAAGAAGGCCUUCGGGUUGUAAAGUACUUUCAGCGGGGAGGCGUUACCAACAGAAUAAGCACCGGCUAACUUCGUGCCAGCAGCCGCGGUAAUUC
rnacentral:rRNA from 1 species